rnacentral:lncRNA from 1 species
UGAACUAACUGUAUAUCUUUUAUUUUGCUACGUUCAAGAUCCAUAAUGCUGUAAGACCCAUACUUCGCAGUAUGACCUGGGGUACAACACCUUGCAUCACCACCAAUCUUAACUGGAGAUCCGUUGUUUUGAAUUUCAGUUAUAAGAUCUAGCUGUUUACAUUGCCAUACAUCUGUGAUUGUUGGUAGCAGGUAGGCAUUCGGUAGGGACAAAAGUGUUCUUUCAGAGAAACAACGUACUGAAGCAUGUCUGAAAAAUUUUAAUAUUUUGGAUAUGCUCCCUCCUGAAAAAGGCUGACUGUUCCAUCUUGUAAUUUCAGGACAUUUGCAUUUCAAAUUAAGUCACAGCAGUUCCUAUAACAUUAAA